rnacentral:rRNA from 1 species
AAUUUUGGACAAUGGGCGCAAGCCUGAUCCAGCCAUGCCGCGUGAGUGAAGAAGGCCUUCGGGUUGUAAAGCUCUUUCGGCGGGGACGAAAUGGUUCGUGCUAAUACCACGGACUGAUGACGGUACUCGCAGAAGAAGCACCGGCUAACUACGUGCCAGCAGACGCGGUAAUACAGAGGGCGCGAGCGUUGUCCGGAAUCACUGGGCGUAAAGGGCGCGUAGGUGGCCACCAUAAGGCCGCGGUGAAAGUUCGGGGCUCAACCCUGAAUCUGCCGCGGCGACUGUGGGGCUUGGGCACUGUAGAGGCAGAUGGAAUUCCGGGUGUAGCGGUGGAAUGCGUAGAGAUCCGGAAGAACACCAGUGGCGAAGGCGAUCUGCUGGGCAGUGGACCCGCGAGGGUCCAGUAGCCGACACUGAGGCGCGACAGCGUGGGGAGCAAAC